GAGGUACUAUAUCUACUGGCUCAGUAUUAAUGGGUUCGAUAGGAUUUAUAGCACGUUGCUCUUUAAAGACUUUCUCUUUGAGCUCAAUCAACCUCCCAUUACCACCAUCCUGAAUAAACUAUUUUUCAAGGAACGUGACGUGUCAACUUACAAUCACAUUGUGAUUGUCUGAAAAGUAAAAAUAGUAUCUUAUUGAUUCUUUAGGAUAUCC
rnacentral:lncRNA from 1 species